rnacentral:rRNA from 1 species
UGCUAGUGUACGUAGAAUAAGGAUCGGCUAACUCCGUGCCAGCAGCCGCGGUAAUACGGAGGAUCCGAGCGUUAUCCGGAUUUAUUGGGUUUAAAGGGUGCGCAGGCGGCUUUUUAAGUCAGUGGUAAAAUCGUGAGGCUCAACCUCAUCCCGCCAUUGAUACUGGAGAGCUUGAUUACGGUUGAGGUUGGCGGAAUUCGCCGUGUAGCGGUGAAAUGCAUAGAUAUGGCGAAGAACUCCGAUUGCGUAGGCAGCUGACCAAGCCGAAAAUGACGCUCAUGCACGAAAGUGCGGGGAUCGAACAGGAUUAGAUACCCUG